GCAUCUCUAUGGGCAAAGUUCGGCAUCUCCAUGCUGCAAUGUAAACAUGGCCUUUCUCUGAAAAGGCAGUGUUUACAGCAAAAAGCCUGCAGAGACUGAAUAUACUUAUUAGAACAACUACAGCUAUAGUUGUUCUGGUGACUAUAGUGUCCCUUUAAUAUGACAACGUUUGUGGAUUUUCUAUCCACACAUUUGAUCAUAAGAAC